rfam:TPA: Bos taurus chromosome 7, whole genome shotgun sequence.
UCCCUGGGGGUCCAGUGGCUAAGACUCCUCGCUCCCAAUGCAGGAGGCCCAGGUUUGAUCCCUGGCCAGGGAA